rnacentral:rRNA from 1 species
CCGACGGUGAGAGGUGAAAGCUGGGGGAGCAAACCGGAUUAGAUACCCGGGUAGUCCCAGCCGUAAACGAUGUGCGUUAGGUGUAUCGGUGACCACGAGUCACCGAGGUGCCGAAGAGAAAUCGUGAAACGUACCGCCUGGGAAGUACGGUCGCAAGGCUGAAACUUAAAGGAAUUGGCGGGGGAGCACCACAACAGGUGGAGCCUGCGGUUUAAUCGGACUCAACGCCGGAAAACUCACCAGAUAA